rnacentral:rRNA from 1 species
GACGAACGCUGGCGGCGUGCUUAACACAUGCGAGUCGAACGGAAAGGCCCUGCUUUUGUGGGGUGCUCGAGUGGCGAACGGGUGAGUAACACGUGUGUAACCUGCCCUUGACUUUGGGAGAAAUUCAGGAAACUGGGGCUCAUACCGGGUAGGAGCUCCUGCUGCAUGGUGGGGGUUGGUAAGAUUCGGCGGUUGGGGAUGGAAUCGCGGCUUAUCAGCUUGUUGGUGGGGUAGUGGAUUACCAAGGCUUUGACGGGUAGCCGGCCUGAGAGGGUGACCGGCCACAUUGGGACUGCGAGACGGCCCAGACUCCUACGGGACGCAGUAGUGGGGAAUAUUGCGCAAUGGGGGGAAGCCUGAUGCAGCAACGCCGCGUGCGGGAUGACGUCCUUUGGGUUAUAAACCGAUUUCGCCUGUGACGAGGCGUGAGUGACGGUAAUGAGUAAAGAAGCACCGGCUAACUACGUG